AGUAAAAAGCUAUACAUCAAAAGCACAGACACUUAAACAAGUGGAAUAAUCGCUGAUGGCGGCUAGUGGAGUAAUGUGGACGUUAUCCUCAUUUGAAUCAAUGGAGGAAAAGUCAUCCCAGGUCUACUAAACUGACGGGGACAAGGACAGCACCACGUGGCCCUGCUACGGCUGCCAGCUGUCCACCGGCCUCAUCAGACCUAACAGACCUCCAGGGGCAGGGGUGGGGGGCUGGAAGGCGUCUGAGCUUUGGGGCGAGAAAUAGCUGAUAACUCAGGAGAAAGAAGAUAAGAAGAUCAGGAUGUAAUGAGGUUGAGGAAGACAUUUUCAACGCUUAACAAGACCAGCGAGGUGCGUUUGUUUUCUGUUGAAGUGACUUGCCUCACAGUUUCAUCCAUGAAAUCCCGAUCGCCACGCAGCACCCCACCGCAUGAUCUUCAGGAGGAAAUGUGGGCGGAAAAACAAUGACGGAACACCACUUUGUGCUCCCCCUGUUCAAAUAUUUGCUCACAUGUCAACUUUGAGUCUUGAGCAUCAAUGGUGGUAUUGUUUUUUGCUGUGUUUUAUUGUUUUGGGAGGUAUAAUUAUUUUUUUUCUUUUAAUCGAAUCUGUCUGGAGCUUAAUAGGCUGAUCUUGAUGGAUUCCUCCCACCCACACCAAAUAAGAUAUGAGCCCCACUUGGGCAGUUCUUUCUUGUAAAGACAGCCCGAAGCUAUUUUGUGCUGAUCGAACAAGUCAAAUACAGAAUUCACACAAUAAUUGCAGCAACUUUAACUAUUUGAUUAUUUAUAAUGACACAAAAAAUAAAGCCUCCUGCUGCAUCCUUUGAGAGUUGGAAUGGUCAGCACCCACCCAGGCAUUCUGCCUUGAUUGGUUGGACAAGCUGGAGAGAAAUAUAGCAAUAAAUACUCUGCAAAAUUAAUUUACAUUCAUUGUUGGGCCAGUUUGUUCCCUGACCCAUUUAAUGGUGCAUUUAAAACUCAUCUAAAGGUCCAUUCUGUCUUCUUGAACUUCUUAA